rnacentral:rRNA from 1 species
GAUGAACGCUGGCGGCGUGCCUAAUACAUGCGAGUCGAGCGAACGGACGAGAAGCUUGCUUCUCUGAUGUUAGCGGCGGACGGGUGAGUAACACGUGGAUAACCUACCUAUAAGACUGGGAUAACUUCGGGAAACCGGAGCUAAUACCGGAUAAUAUUUUGAACCGCAUGGUUCAAAAGUGAAAGACGGUCUUGCUGUCACUUAUAGAUGGAUCCGCGCUGCAUUAGCUAGUUGGUAAGGUAACGGCUUACCAAGGCAACGAUGCAUAGCCGACCUGAGAGGGUGAUCAGCCACACUGGAACUGAGACACGGUCCAGACUCCUACGGGAGGCAGCAGUAGGGAAUCUUCCGCAAUGGGCGAAAGCCUGACGGAGCAACGCCGCGUGAGUGAUGAAGGUCUUCGGAUCGUAAAACUCUGUUAUUAGGGAAGAACAUAUGUGUAAGUAACUGUGCACAUCUUGACGGUACCUAAUCAGAAAGCCACGGCUAACUACGUG